rnacentral:misc_RNA from 1 species
AAGUCGUAACAAGGUUUCCGUAGGUGAACCUGCGGAAGGAUCAUUAACACGUAUCCAACGUUAAACAACCCUGUGAACCUUCAUUCCUGCUCUCCUCGAGCCCCUCGGGGAUUCGAUACGGUCGUCGCAACUUAGGCUUGGCUUCUGCGGGGCAGUUAGUGGGUGAAAGUGCCACUGAUUGCUUAAGCAGAUAACCGAUUAAAACUCGGAUCAUCGAGUGCCCACACGGCCGAUGAACAAGUCUCUGGGCGCAAGCCCCCAAAUUAACUACCUCUAAGCCUUAGCGGCCGCCUCGUGCUGUCGCUGUCGUGAAAGCUGAACAACUGUUAACAAUGGAUAUCUUGGUUCUC